rnacentral:rRNA from 1 species
GCAAGUNUCCGCAUUCCAGUGUAGANGCCCUAGGCACCCUGAAUCCAGGUCGAUAGGAGCGGGUAUCAGGCACACCAAAUCUGUAGCCCAAGACGCCUUGCAAUUGCCACGCCCCCACGGGUUCUCAGCAGUAGUUAAUAUUAAGCCAUGAGUGUAAACUUGACUUAGUCAUAGCAAUUUAGGGUCGGUAAAUCCUGUGCCAGCCACCGCGGUCAUACAGGAGACCCAAAUUAACUUUAUAACGGCGUAAAGUGUGGUAACAUGCUAUCCAAGUAACUAAGAUCAAAAAGCAGCUGAGCUGUCAUAAGCUAAAGAUGCCCAUAAGGCCGCUAUUCAAAGAAAAUCUUAGACUAACGAUUGAUUGAAAUCCACGAAAGCCAGGGCCCAAACUGGGAUUAGAUACCCCACUAUGCCUGGCCCUAAAUCUUGAUGCUCGAUCUUACCGGAGCAUCCGCCCGAGAACUACGAGCGCAAACGCUUAAAACUCUAAGGACUUGGCGGUGUCCCAAACCCACCUAGAGGAGCCUGUUCUAUAAUCGAUGAUCCACGAUAUACCUAACCAUUCCUUGCCAGAAUCAGCCUAUAUACCGCCGUCGCCAGCCCACCCAACCUGAAGGCCCAACAGUGGACGCAAUAGCCCUACCACGCUAAUAAGACAGGUCAAGGUAUAGCCUAUGGAAUGGGAGCAAUGGGCUACAUUUUCUAAAAUAGAACAUUACGGAAAGGGAUAUGAAACUGUCCCUAGAAGGAGGAUUUAGCAGUAAAGAGGGAGAAUCGAGCCCUCUUUAAGCCGGCCCUGGGGCACGUACACACCGCCCGUCACCCUCCUCAAAAGCGU